rnacentral:rRNA from 1 species
GAUGAACGCUGGCGGCGUGCUUAACACAUGCAAGUCGAACGAAGCAUAUAGACGGAAGUUUUCGGAUGGAAGACUAUAUGACUAAGUGGCGGACGGGUGAGUAACGCGUGGGUAACCUGCCUUAUACAGGGGGAUAACAGUCAGAAAUGACUGCUAAUACCCCAUAAGCGCACAGGACCGCAUGGUCUGGUGUGAAAAAUUCAGGUGGUAUAAGAUGGACCCGCGUCUGAUUAGCUAGUUGGUGAGGUAAUGGCUCACCAAGGCGACGAUCAGUAGCCGACCUGAGAGGGUGACCGGCCACAUUGGGACUGAGACACGGCCCAAACUCCUACGGGAGGCAGCAGUGGGGAAUAUUGCACAAUGGGGGAAACCCUGAUGCAGCGACGCCGCGUGAAGGAAGAAGUAUUUCGGUAUGUAAACUUCUAUCAGCAGGGAAGAAAAUGACGGUACCUGACUAAGAAGCCCCGGCUAAUUACGUGCCAGCAGCCGCAGUAAGAC